rnacentral:rRNA from 1 species
UACGGAGGGGGCGAGCGUUAUUCGGAAUUAUUGGGCGUAAAGGGCGCGUAGGCGGCUGUGUAAGUCAAAGGUGAAAUCCCUCGGCUCAACUGAGGAACUGCCUUUGAAACUGCACAGCUUGAGGCCGGGAGGGGGUGGCGGAAUUCCCAGUGUAGCGGUGAAAUGCGUAGAUAUUGGGAGGAACACCAGUGGCGAAGGCGGCCACCUGGACCGGUUCUGACGCUGAUGCGCGAAAGCGUGGGUAGCAAACAGG